AACAAAUUUAACAGUGAAUGCAUUAUUAUAUAUGUAUAUGUAUAUGUAUAUGUAUAUGUAUGUGUAUACAUAUGUAUAUGGGAUUUAUAAAUGUAUUGCAUGGGCAGAUGGCUAGUAAAGAUUACUUAAAAAUUGCGCUUUUGUGACAACAACAAAAACUCGUUGUAUCCAAUCCGUGGAUUAACAAAUUAACUUACAAGGGGAAGAUGGAUGAUGGAAGAUGACAACAGCAACAUAAUGCAGACAACAAGUUUUAACAUUAAGCGAAUAAAACAAAGAAAACCAAAUGAUUAUCAAUGUUAUUAACAUAAUUAAUAUUAACAACAAAAACAAAAC
rnacentral:lncRNA from 1 species